rnacentral:ncRNA from 1 species
AUCCGUUGGGGUGUUCUGCAUAGCAGGGCUGAGAAUCGCUUAGGCGUAAACCCAUCGAACCUGAUCCGGGCAAUACCGGCGGAGGGAACGGU